AUACGUAGGGUGCGAGCGUUGUCCGGAAUUACUGGGCGUAAAGAGCUCGUAGGUGGUUUGUCGCGUCGUCUGUGAAAUUCCGGGGCUUAACUCCGGGCGUGCAGGCGAUACGGGCAUAAAUUGAGUACUGUAGGGGAGACUGGAAUUCCUGGUGUAGCGGUGAAAUGCGCAGAUAUCAGGAGGAACACCGGUGGCGAAGGCGGGUCUCUGGGCAGUAACUGACGCUGAGGAGCGAAAGCAUGGUUAGCGAACAGGAUUAGAUACCCUGGUAGUCCAUGCCGUAAACGGUGGGCGCUAGGUGUAGGGGUCUUCCACGACUUCUGUGCCGUAGCUAACGCAUUAAGCGCCCCGCCUGGGGAGUACGGCCGCAAGGCUAAAACUCAAAGGAAUCGACGGGG
rnacentral:rRNA from 1 species